UGGGGAAUAUUGCACAAUGGGCGCAAGCCUGAUGCAGCCAUGCCGCGUGUAUGAAGAAGGCCUUCGGGUUGUAAAGUACUUUCAGUCGGGAGGAAGGUGGUAAGGUUAAUAACCUUGGCAAUUGACGUUACCGACAGAAGAAGCACCGGCUAACUCCGUGCCAGCAGCCGCGGUAAUACGGAGGGUGCAAGCGUUAAUCGGAAUUACUGGGCGUAAAGCGCACGCAGGCGGUUGAUUGAGUCAGAUGUGAAAUCCCCGGGCUUAACCCGGGAAUUGCAUCUGAUACUGGUCAGCUAGAGUCUUGUAGAGGGAGGUAGAAUUCCAUGUGUAGCGGUGAAAUGCGUAGAGAUGUGGAGGAAUACCGGUGGCGAAGGCGGCCCCCUGGACAAAGACUGACGCUCAGGUGCGAAAGCGUGGGGAGCAAACAGG
rnacentral:rRNA from 1 species